UGAGGAAUAUUGGUCAAUGGCCGAAGGGCUGAACCAGCCAAGUCGCGUGAAGGAUGAAGGUUCUAUGGAUUGUAAACUUCUUUUAUCAGGGAAUAAAGUGUGGUACGUGUACCAUUUUGUAUGUACCUGAUGAAUAAGCAUCGGCUAACUCCGUGCCAGCAGCCGCGGUAAUACGGAGGAUGCGAGCGUUAUCCGGAUUUAUUGGGUUUAAAGGGUGCGUAGGUGGUAAAUUAAGUCAGCGGUGAAAGUUUGUGGCUCAACCAUAAAAUUGCCGUUGAAACUGUUUUACUUGAGUGUGUUUGAGGUAGGCGGAAUGCGUGGUGUAGCGGUGAAAUGCAUAGAUAUCACGCAGAACUCCAAUUGCGAAGGCAGCUUACUAAACCAUAACUGACACUGAAGCACGAAAGCGUGGGGAUCAAACAGG
rnacentral:rRNA from 1 species